rnacentral:lncRNA from 1 species
AUGUUUGAACUUGUUAAUUGAGCACUCAUUGAAUAUUCAAGUGUUGUUAGGUCAUGUUUGAACCAGUUAUUGAAAACUCUUUGAAUAGUCAAGUGUUGUUAGGUCAUGUAUGAACCUGCUGUUGAAAAGUCUUUGAAUAGUCAAGUGUUGUCAGGUCAUGUAUGAACCUGCUGUUGAAAAUUCUUUGAAUAUUCAAGUGUUGUUAGGUCAUGUUUGAACCAUUUAUUGAAACUCUUUGAAUAUUCCAAAUGGUCAGGUCAUGUUUGAACCAGUUGUUGAAAAUUCUUUGAAUAUUCAAAGUGUUGUUAGGUCAUGUUUGAACCAGUUGUUGAAAAUUCUUUGAAUAUUCAAGUGUUGUCAGGUCAUGUAUGAACCUACUGUUGAAAAUUCUUUGAAUAGUUAAGUGUUGUCAGGUCAUGUAUGAACCUGUUGUUGGAAGUUCUUUGAAUGUUCCUGUUUUGUUAGGUCAUGUAUGAACCUGUUUGUUCAGCUUUUAUCCCAGUAUUACCAGGUCAUGCCUGAACCUGUUUUGAAGAAUCUUUCUCUAUGAUUAUUUCAGUGUUCUCAGGUCAUGUAUGAACCUGUUGAUAUACUCUUUUUGAAUUUUUCUGAGUUUGUUAGGUCAUGUCUGAACCUGUUGUCAGAACAUCUUGAUAUUC